AUACUUAACUGGCAGGGGAGAUACCAUGAUCACGAAGGUGGUUUUCCCACCCAGGGAGAGGCUCAUCCACUGCACUCCGGAUAUGAUGACCUCUGCGAUUUCCCCAAAUGUGGGAAACUCGACUGCAUAGUUUGUGGUAGUGGAAAACUGCGUUCCUGCUUUCCCCUU